UCGCUGGUUUCAGUCGCC
rnacentral:siRNA from 1 species